CCUGACUGAGCCUCGUUUAGAUCCUGCAAUAUUACUCCUUAUGCAAGUCAACACAACAGGCAGUUCUGUGUGAUCAAAUUCUUAACAAAUCUAAGACCUUUUUUGUUGCCAGCAUCAUUAGUUCACCUCUGGUUGAACCCAGCACACUUGGAGCUUAUAUAUUUUACUCAGAUAAAACACUAAGUAACAAUGGUUGUCUGUGAAUCAAAGUGGAUAAAGGGAAGAUAUCGUGCUUGUUUUCCUCUUUUUUCUCUUGCAUUCAAGAUCAAAAUAAGCUCAAAUAUGAAUCUCACAAGAUGGAAAAAAAUCUUCAGAGAGACAGUAAGAUGUCCAUGGAUGAGACCAAGGCUCUUAGAAAGGAAAACAAGUCCCUCUGGGGAGAAAACAAAGAUCUUCAAGCAGAAAACAAAGCCUUCUGAAUGGACAACCAGUUAAUGUGGGAGGAGAAUCAGUCCCUGAGACAGCAAAACCAGAUCCUGUGCAAGUUUACAGUGUGAUUUUAGAAAGCCAAAAACCACCGGGGGAAAAAAAUCAAUGCCUUGAACACAGAAAGAAAGUCUUAUUGGCAACAGAACUGAGCCCUGGAAGCUCAGAUAAGGCUCUCGGGAAACAAGAGAAAGACUUCCAGAAUGAAAUGACAACUCUUCAAGAGGAAAUAAGGUCUCUCCACAAGGAGAUAAAGGCCCUAGAGCAUCAGGAGAGAGCAAUCAGGAUGGAGGAAGAGACCCUGAUGAAAGAAGGAACAACACUAGAGAUGGAAGAACGGGCUCUGUGGGAGGAGGAACAGGCCCUUCCUGAGGAGAACAAGGCUCUUACAGAAGAAAACAGUGCUCCUCAAGAGGAGGAAAAAGCCCUUCUGGAAGAGGUAAAGGCCCUUGAGGAGUGGAAUAAGGUUCUUCCAGGAAAAGACAGCAAACACACUUGCUGGAUAAAUGCACAAUAAUGUAAUAGAGCAAGAGAAGUGGAAGUUGAAGAUGUAACCAGCAAACCAUGCAGCCACUGACAUUCCAAAAAAAAAUUUGAACUUUUGAAGGUGAAAUACUAUUGUUGGGGUUGGAGUCAAAAACCUGGAAAUGUUUACUCCUGGAAACUAAACAAAGUCCUGAAAAGUUAAAAAAAUAUAUUCUUUAGGUUUGCUUAAAUUUUACACUACUUUGGUGGUAUAUAUUAUUUCAGAAUACAAAAGAUGUAUUGCUCAAAACACGUGAUACUGAAUGGACCAGCUGUAUGUGAAAAGGAGAAAAUUUUGAAUAUAAAGUCCAAGGAAUACGGAUUCAUGAUAACAGCAUUCAACCAGACUCUACUAUCAAACAUUUGCUUGCAUUUGUAUAAACUGUGUGACCAAAAAUAUCUUCAUUGGGCUGCAGUUUUAUCAACAUUAAGUUAGGAAUAUUAAUAAGUAACAUCUAUUGAGCUAGACUUAUGAUAAGAGUUCUUCAAACAUUUUAUUUAACCCUUAAAUUACAUCCUACAAUUACCAUUCACAUUUUUUCAGAUGGCAAUUGUGACUUUAGAGUGGAUAAAUAACUUGUCCAAAUAAAACAACAAAUGGCUACAAAGUAACAAAGGAGAGAUUUGAAUUCAGGGAUUAACAGUACCUGGCAACUCAAAAAGAUUUCUUAGAAUUACUGUAUAUGAUAAUGUGUGAGAGUGUUUUGAACUUUAUAAAUUUUUAUAUUUUUCUCACUUGUUUGGUAACUAUGCUUUAAAAUUCAUUACA